rnacentral:lncRNA from 1 species
GACACCUCUUGCAUGUGUGAUCAUCAUUUUGGAUGUUUUCCGGUGUCAACUGCGCGUUUUCUGAAAUGAUAUAUGAGACGGAUAUCUGCUUUUAGUUCGGAUAACGACUGUCCGUUAUAUUGAGAGACCUUUCGCGUGUAUGAUCACAAUUUUGGAUGUUUUCCGGUGUCAACUCCGCGCAUACUUGAAUUCUUCAAGACAUCUGAAGUUAGUCCGGAUAACGACUGUCCGUUGUAUAGAGAGACCCCUCGCAUGUGUGUUUGCUAUUUUGGAUGUUUAAAGGUUUUUAACUCCGAUUGUUAAUGAAUGCUGCACCACGUAUAAUGUUUGUCCGGAUAACGACUGUCCUUUAUAUAGAGAGACCCACGCUUGUUUGACGAUCGAUGCUUCACAAUUAAUGUUACAGUCAGAUAUGUGACGAGAAGACAGAAUGGAACUUCGGGACAUCGAGUGGCAUGAAACUGAAGUAGACCUGAAGCUUACUUCGAGACAUCGGGUGUGCUUUGAUGAACGCCGAGCAGACCACUGAUGUGGAAAUAAGACUAUCUUCGUAACAUUGCAUGGCAGGACAUUUGCGUAAUACUGGUGGGCAUUUCGAGACAUCCGGAGCUAGAUCGACGUUGGUCAGGACAUAAUGCAGACGUGAGGCAAACCUCGAGACAUCCGUACUGUUCAGAUCGACAUCGGACGGGACACUGGUGUAGACGUUGGGCUAAUUUCGAACUAUCUGGUAUAUUUCGAUCAAUGUCGAACAUCAAACUGUGUUAGACACGAGGCUAACUUCGUGACAUCCGUUUUAGAAAUAAUUCUCAUGGCAAAUAUUGGAGGAGUGGUUGUCUGGGAUAUACGAAACGUGUGCCGUGUUCUGCUAAUGUGACGUCACACAAGGCAUGAACAACACGUCGUGUGACGUCAUAGGAGGAACGGAGAUUAUGUAUUCUAAAAAUAGAAAGAGAAGUUACGUAUCAACGCAAUAUGCGCAGGAUUAAAGGAACUGCUGGAUUACCAGAACAGAACUGGAUGUAACCCUAGAGCACUUAUGUAGCUUUCAAUAUAUCUUGGGUUACCAUGGAUACCAAAUGGAUCUGUUUUGGAAAGCACGGUUUAUGGAAGGUGAGGGCAUACGGAAGCCUUCAACACACUCAACAGCGUGUGAGACAGUUGACACGUACACGACAACGUGAGUGGCGCGACGCUCCUCGACAUGUGAGUGGUUCAGAUUUAAUUCUUCGAUAAAAGCUGAUCAUUCGGUGUAGAUGCUAAGAUAAUUUGACUUCUAGUUUUUAAAUGGCAGGUCACAAAGUUUCUUAAACUGGAUCUCAAAAUGUUGUCAGGAAUAUAUUUAAGCAUUCUGUUAAAAAACGUCCAUUCAUAACUACGGACGGUAACUGUUUUGAUGAAAUCGACAUGUUAUGCCACCUGCGCAAAAACCGCAGUGCGUGCAAGAGCACUUUAUUGUUAAAUGUUGGGUUAUCGCGUUACAGCCCAUGAUUUGCACGUGAAGGAAAGGAAAUGCUGACUUGAAUAUUUGUUUAGCACUUUUGACAGCCAGUCUCGUGUGUUUAUUCAGUUUUUAUCUUCGUCGGAAUUCUAAAGCGCUAUACUGGAUUUAAUGUUAUAAUCUAACGUAAUCUUCGUUAACAAUGAGGACGGUCCAACCAAUAUUAUAUAUUAAUCUGACGUGUAAACAUGUUUUGAAAUAGGUCACUGUGCUAUCGUUUUUAAAAUGUAUAACGGUUUGUGUAUCACCGUUUGUGACUUCAAUAACGUAAAAUAUUACUUCUACUUUUCAAAAACGAACAAGCCAAAAAAUUAACAUGGUUACUUCAAACAGAUGAACACCAUU